GACGAACGCUGGCGGCGUGCUUAACACAUGCAAGUCGAACGGAAAGGCCCUGCUUUUGUGGGGUGCUCGAGUGGCGAACGGGUGAGUAACACGUGAGUAACCUGCCCUUGACUUUGGGAUAACUUCAGGAAACUGGGGCUAAUACCGGAUAGGAUCUCCUGCUGCAUGGUGGGGGUUGGAAAGUUUCGGCGGUUGGGGAUGUACUCGCGGCUUAUCAGCUUGUUUGUGUGGUAGUGGCUUACCAAGGCUUUGACGGGUAGCCGGCCUGAGAGGGUUACCGGCAACAUUGGGACUGAGAUACGGCCCAGACUGCUACGGGAGGCAGCAGUGGGGAAUAUUGCACAAUGGGCGGAAGCCUGAUGCAGAAACGCCGCGUGCGGGAUGACGGCCUUCGGGUUGUAAACCGCUUUCGCCUGUGACGAAGCGUGAGUGACGGUAAUGGGUAAAGAAGCACCGGCUAACUACGUG
rnacentral:rRNA from 1 species